rnacentral:misc_RNA from 1 species
GUAGGUGAACCUGCGGAAGGAUCAUUGACAAAUCCUUUAAAUAUGAAUGAAUAUUCUUUGAAUAUUUAUUUUAUAUAUUUACUCGGAGUCCAGUUUGGACUCUGAGGACACAUAUUUUUGGGAGGUCUCCUUGCGGGGCUUUUCAGAAUAUGUGGUCCUUGAGUUAUUGAAGUGAAAUAUAUUCAAUGACACAUAAACUCGAUUGUAUUUUGUUUUGACAGUGUAAUUUAUCAAUUUUUAUUUAUUGAUAAAUAAUUUACAACCAAAAAAUUAUAUACAACUUUUAACAAUGGAUCUCUUGGCUCUU